UUCCGGUUGAUCCUGCCGGAGGCUACUGCUAUCGGGGUCCGACUAAGCCAUGCGAGUUGAGAGGGGUAAGCCCUCGGCAUAUUGCUCAGUAACACGCGGAUAACCUGCCCUUGGGUUUGGGAUAACCCCGGGAAACUGGGACUAAUACCGGAUAGAUCAAAGAAACUGGAAUGUUCUCUGAUCGAAAGCUCCGGCGCCCAAGGAUGGGUCUGCGGCCUAUCAGGUAGUAGUGGGUGUAACGUACCUACUAGCCUACGACGGGUAAGGGUUGUGAGAGCAAGAGCCCUGAGAUGGAUUCUGAGACAUGAAUCCAGGCCCUACGGGGUGCAGCAGGCGCGAAAACUUUACACUGCGGGAAACCGCGAUAAGGGGACCCCGAGUGCCAGCACCUAGUGCUGGCUGUCCAGCUGUUCAAAUAACAGUUGUUAGCAAGGGCCGGGCAAGACCGGUGCCAGCCGCCGCGGUAACACCGGCGGCCCGAGUGGUAGCCGUUAUUAUUGGGUUUAAAGGGUCCGUAGCCGGCCUAUUAAGUCUCUUGGGAAAUCUGGCGACUCAAUCGUCAGGCGUUCAAGAGAUACUGGUAGGCUUGGGACCGGGAGAGGUGGGAGGUACUCCAGGGGUAGGGGUGAAAUCUCGUAAUCCUUGGGGGACCACCGAUGGCGAAGGCAUCCCACCAGAACGGGUCCGACGGUGAGGGACGAGAGCUGGGGGCACGAACCGGAUUAGAUACCCGGGUAGUCCCAGCCGUAAACGAUGCUCGCUAGGUGUCAGGUGCGGUGCGACCGCAUCUGGUGCCGCAGUGAAAACUUGAAGCGAGUCACCUGGGAAGUACGGUCGCAAGGCUGAAACUUAAAGGAAUUGGCGGGGGAGCACUACAACGGGUGGAGCCUGCGGUUCAAUUGGAUUCAACGCCGGA
rnacentral:rRNA from 1 species